rnacentral:tRNA from 1 species
AGCAGUGUGGAGGAGCUUGGAGUCCUCACCGGGCCCAUAACCCGGGGAUCAUUGGUUCAAAUCCAAUCACUGCUA